GGGUAAUCUUCAGAGUAACAGGGGAUUCACGCAGAGUCUCUCCACCACCAUGGGUGAGACCAAAGAGCUGUCAAAGGAUGUCAGGAAUAACACGGCAGACCUGAACACAGCUGGAAUGGCUACAAGACCAUCAGCAAGAAGCUUGGUGAGAAGUUCACCACUGUUGGUGCAAAUUGGUGCACCUUUGGAAAUGGAAGCAAUAUAAAAUGACCAUCAAUCAUUCUCAGUGCAACCAUCCUCGUGGGGAAGCUGCGGGGCAGUAUCACCUCUCGUUUGCCAACACUGUACUCAAUACUAAUGAGGAAGAACGUAGCACGACCAGGAGGACAGAAGAAAUUGGAAAAAGACAUUUAAAAAAAAAAAAUGUUAAAGUGUUUCAUAGAAAACAAAGUUAAAUGCAGACUGUACAAAGUGGAGCUUUCCUUCCACGACGGCACUACUACAGUGCACGGCAGCACCUGUGACAUCUACUCUGAAUAGAUCAGUUUUAGAGUGCAUUGCAUUGAUACCUUGUUUAUGUUAAUGUCUGUGCAGUAAUGGUUAUCUUAAUGUUUCUACAGUAAAUUGUAUGUUAAUAUUUGAGAUGAGAUGAGAUAGCCUUUAUUUGUCAGUUGCAGGUCUUUUGCCCACAACAGUAAUGUUUAUGUUAAUGUUUGUACAGUAAUGUUUAUCUUAGCUUACCUGUUGGAAACAUCUAAUAGAUGAUGCUUGCUGAGCAAACACAAUUUCAGUUUUGUUAGCUAAUGAGAGAAACGUGAUAGUAAACCAUUAAACAGGAGUAGCCACACUACCAGUCAACAGUUUGGACACACCUUAUUUAGUGUUUUUUCACGUAACCAUUUACAUUGUAGAUUCUGGAGGACGUCAAGUCGUGGUUGGCGCUAAACUUUCUUUGUUUUAAUGAUUCUAAAACUGAAGUAAUGGUGUUCAGACCUGCCUCCACUGCUGUUCCGUGUGUUGAUUUGCAAUCCCUUAAAUCAUUCUGUAAAUCAGAGAUUGUUAAUCUGGGUUUUAAAAUGGAUCCUGAUUUUAAGCUUGAAAGCCAGAUCGGGUUGGUUGUAAGGUCUAGUUUCUUUCAUCUGAGGCAACUGGCCAAAAUUAAGCACUUUCUUACGAGACAGCAAUUUGAAACAGUAACCCACGCUUUUGUAACCGUUCGGCUGGAUUACUGUAAUUCUCUUUAUUUUGGGGUGAGUCGAUCUUCUGUUUUUCGACUGCAGUUAGUCCAGAAUGCUGCUGCACGCCUUUUAACUGGCACUCAUAGAUACGAGCAUAUCACCCCAGUUUUAUAUUCACUUCAUUGGCUGCCCGUGCAUUUUAGGAUCCAUUUUAAGAUGCUUUUAUUUGUUUUUAAAUGUUUGUCCAAUGCUGCCCCUGUGUACCUCUCUGAGCUUCUUCAUCCAUACAUACCUUCCCGGUCCCUCAGGUCGGCAGACCAGCUCCUCCUGAGUAUGCCCAGGACUAAUCGUAAGCUCAGAGGGGAUCGGGCAUUUGCUGUGGCAGCACCAAAAUUGUGGAAUGAGUUGCCUUUACAUGUUAGACAGGCACCUUCCUUAUCUGUUUUUAAAUCACGUCUUAAAACAUAUUUAUUUACCUUGGCUUUUAGCACAGCAGCACUUGUUGAUGUCUCUUAAUACGUUUCUUAUUAAUUAUAUUACUUUUAAUUUUAAGAUAUUUUAUAUGUAAUUUAAAC